GACCCAGGCUCCUACGGGAGGCAGCAGUGAGGAAUAUUGGUCAAUGGGCUUACGCCUGAACCAGCCAAGUCGCGUGAGGAAAGACUGCCCUAUGGGUUGUAAACCUCUUUUGUCAGGGAGCAAUUGAGUCCACGUGUGGGCUUAGCGAGAGUACCUGAAGAAAAAGCAUCGGCUAACUCCGUGCCAGCAGCCGCGGUAAUACGGAGGAUGCGAGCGUUAUCCGGAUUUAUUGGGUUUAAAGGGUGCGUAGGCGGAAUAUCAAGUCAGCGGUAAAAAUUCGGGGCUCAACCCCGUCGUGCCGUUGAAACUGAUGUUCUUGAGUGGGCGAGAAGUAUGCGGAAUGCGCGGUGUAGCGGUGAAAUGCAUAGAUAUCGCGCAGAACUCCGAUUGCGAAGGCAGCAUGCCGGCUCCACACUGACGCUGAGGCACGAAAGCGUGGGUAUCGAACAGGAUUAGAUACCCGUGUAU
rnacentral:rRNA from 1 species